rnacentral:lncRNA from 1 species
AGGUGGUAAAUCCUGGCCAAGGCUCCUCGAGCCAGGCCGGCUGGCAGUGCUGCAUCGUGCUGAAGGCGCUGAGGUUGCAGCGGAUGCAUUCCGGGCCAGUGAUAUGAUGUGGACAGGAAAAGUCUUUUGUUCUGGGAAAAUGGAGGACUGAAACCUCUUCAUGUCUUUUUCCCAGGCCCUGAUUUAGGAAGACCAAAACAGGGACUUCUACAGUAGCAGCUUAAUCAGCAGAUGCUGGGUGGUCGCCUCUGCACAUGGCCUGGGGGGCGGGGCGCCUUACCGCGUCACACUGGGUGGAUGGGCCUGUGUGUGGCCUCUCUCCAGCUGUGGCUGACAGUACUCACUCAGCCCAGGCUUCCAGGCCCUCCUGGGCCCUCCUAUCCACUGAAGGAAAUGGGAGAUGAGUGGGUAAUGGAAAAGCCUUUGGAGUCAGAUGUAAAUCCAUGACUUGACCACUUAUUGCUGUGAGACCCUGGACAGCUGGAUAUAGAGUUCUUGUUCUAGCAUCCGCCCUGGGAAUCCCCGGAACUGGGCCUCUUACCGACACCAUUGCCUGUAAUCCACAAACCUAGGAGUUACUCCAGUUACUGUCCUACUGAAGGACCCCCAUCCCAUCUGGGCUACUAUAACCACAUGGACCAUCCCUUGCUUCAAUCAUAGAAUUCUUUCUUCAGAUCAAAGUAUAUUCAGACACUCGAUACAGUAACAAAAGCAAGCUAUCCUGGAAGGAAGAAGGAAUCAGGAGGCAGAGCACAUGGUUAAAGCAUGAGAUGUGAAACCAGGAAGAACCAGGUCUGAACCUUAGCUCCACCAGUGGUAGCUUCAAACCUUGGUCCUUUCUGAGCCUGCUUCUUCAACCGUAAGGAACUCGGAAACGGGACCCAGAAAGUUGUUUUCUCAAGUGGAUGGAACAACACAAGCAAUCAGUAUCCUGAAACAGGCCCUGUUCCAACAAACUGACCCAGAAAGCAAGUAUGAGGACUCCUGUUUCCCUACGUACUCACUACUACAGCAAAGAUAUCAAACAUUGAUACCCACCAAUCUCUGGAUGGAAAAACAAAUCUCAGGGAAAAGCACUUGGGACCCGCCAAACGGAGGAUGCAAAAAGGGGUGUCUAACACUGUACCCCUCCCUCCCGCUUACCCAGCAAUGGGGGAGAAAAAGUCGCUGGGCAUGGCAUACCACCGUUCACCAACGCCGUGGGCAGCAGGAACAAAUAAGAGCUGUAGUGCUUCUUGAGAGCCCAGACCUCGAGACUCUCCAAAACAGGGUUGUAAUAUGCCCCUGCUCACCAAGCCCUUGGCAGUGGGAACUGAGCUGUGACAUCCUUGGGGCUCUGCAGUUCCUGGCAUCUCCGAGUUUUCAGGCACCACCACAU